rnacentral:lncRNA from 1 species
UGGAUGCAGUCAGCGAGAAGCACUCAGACCACACAGCAGAGAAUGAGAGUGGUGGUGAGCAGGCACAGGCGGAGCAGGGCAAGAGGAGAAAACACCAGAGCUGGUGGAAAGCUUUGGACAGCAGGUUCAGAGCAGAUCUGGUGAGUCAAGGACUGGAGAGGAUGCUCUGGGCCCGCCGGAAGAAGGAGAGGUGAGGAGCUGGGGAAAGCCUACUGGGGCAUGGCCAAGCUGCCAGAGAGGGGACAGAAGGUGGGAAGGUUUUUCCCAGAAGACAACAUGCCUUUGUUCUUGGUCUAGGUUUAAAGGCUGAACACAAGCCUAUAGCUCUCAGUAGGAGAGUGUUCUCCUAACAUUUAUUAGCAUUUUAAUUACUAUAUUUAUUUUAGCUAAUAGCAGGUUUUAAUGAGAUAUAAUUAGA